UGACGUUUUCAUAAUCUCAUAAUUUUUCUUCGCCCCCUUUUCUCAGUUUCGCGUUUUGUUUUUGUUUACAUCAACAGUUUUGAACUUGUUUUUCUUCGAACUUUUCCUCGGUCAUGUUUGUUUUGGCGAUGUAGCUGGAGUCCGCGUUCGCGUUUUUCUCCUGUGCUUUUACGCGUUUUUCGUGGUUUCUGUCGUGAAAAUAUUACGAAAAGCAGAAUAAAACGGCCCGAUUCCCAAAGGAGGCAGUUAUCGUCGAGUACCACAAACGUCCAGUGCACCAGCUUCCGAUCUGGCUCAUCCAAAGGAUUUCCUCAUAUAUAUAAUGAAGCAGCAGAUUUUGUGCUCCGGCUUCCGAGUUUGCCGGUUUCUGGGAUGUGGGACAAGAGCUUCAGCCUGUAUCCAUCCAUCCCAUUCGAAACAUCACGCCAAACGGAGGAAACAGACCUAUUCAUCGAACGGAACCAAUAGAUCAUAACAAAUGGUUCCGAUAUAUGUAUCGAACACAUCGCAUUCUCUAGGUCAUGGUCCAGCCAGGGGACUGAUUCGGCAUUUCAUUCGUAUGAGUAUAGAGCAUAUAAGUUUCAUAAUUAUUGAAUAUCAAAUGUGAUACGUUAUAAUAUGUUCAAAUAAAUUAUUAGUGCUGUGUAAAAUCACAGGUAUUGAGCA
rnacentral:lncRNA from 1 species